AGCCUGAUGCAGCAACGCCGCGUGAGGGACGACGGCCUUCGGGUUGUAAACCUCUUUUAGCAGGGAAGAAGCGAAAGUGACGGUACCUGCAGAAAAAGCACCGGCUAACUACGUGCCAGCAGCCGCGGUAAUACGUAGGGUGCAAGCGUUAUCCGGAAUUAUUGGGCGUAAAGAGCUCGUAGGCGGUUUGUCGCGUCUGCUGUGAAAACUGGGGGCUCAACCCCCAGCCUGCAGUGGGUACGGGCAGACUAGAGUGCGGUAGUGGAGAUUGGAAUUCCUGGUGUAGCGGUGGAAUGCGCAGAUAUCAGGAGGAACACCGAUGGCGAAGGCAGAUCUCUGGGCCGUAACUGACGCUGAGGAGCGAAAGGGUGGGGAGCAAACAGGCUUAGAUACCCUGGUAGUCCACCCCGUAAACGUUGGGAACUAGUUGUGGGGUCCAUUCCACGGAUUCCGUGACGCAGCUAACGCAUUAAGUUCCCCGCCUGGGGAGUACGGCCGCAAGGCUAAAACUCAAAGGAAUUGACGGGGACCCGCAAAAAUUCCCGGAGCAUGCGGAUUAAUUCGAUGCAACGCGAAGAACCUUACCAAGGCUUGACAUAUACGAGAACGCUGCAGAAAUGUAGAACUCUUUGGA
rnacentral:rRNA from 1 species